UCGGUGUUGGUGAGGAAAAGGAAGGCGAUUUUGAGCUUGGGGUGUUUGGAGGAGGAGAGGUGAGAGAAUGAGGAAGGGUGGGAGGAGGCCGCGGCGGCGGCCCGGCGGAAGAGGGAAAGAUCAUCCUGCUCAUCAGAAGGGGAGAUGGGGGGAAGGCGAGGAGGAAGGAUUCUGGGGGCCAAGAGAAAGAGAAUAGGGAGGGAAAGGAGAAGGGAAAAGGUGAGGACAAACGGGGUAGAGAACAUUGAAGGAGAAAUUUUCAGGGAGAAAAGAAAGUGAAGGAAAAGGGAGGAAUUGGGAAAUGAGGAAGAGUGACAAUUUGGCAUAAAAAAAUGUGAGAAUUUAGAAGAAACAAGGUUAAGGGAAUGUUUGGUUUCAGGGUUAUGGAGAUUUUGUAGUGUAAAGAGAGUUUCAGCUUUCAAGAGGGCGG
rnacentral:misc_RNA from 1 species